AAGACUGUGACCUCUACCCCAUGGAGGAUGCCCAUCGCCUGAGGAUGAACCCCCACUCCAGAUCAAAAUAUAAAGGAGCAGGGUUGCAGCUCACCUGGGCUGGGGAUUACCCGGACUCUUCAGAAAACAAAACUUACACUUUGUCAUGGAGCAGCUAGAAAUUCACCUCAACAUACUCAAUAAUUCAGCAUGUUUGAGCACAUAUUCCAUGCCAGGCACAGUGCUGGAACAGGGACAGCUGGAACAAAGUGGGAGACCCUCUAGCCACCAGGAUCCCAGAGAAGAAGCGAAGUGACUUGCCUAGAACACCAACCAAAAAUGACGGAGCCAAAAGGGCCAGAGCUGGGUCAAGGAGGAAGGAGGAGAAGGAAGAGCAUCCUUUAGCCGCCCUCUGACUCUGCCUUUUCGGGUCUCGCUCCUGGCCUCACUGUAGACAUCAUCCCCAGGCACACCUCCUCCGCACCUCCUUCCUGCUAUAGAGUACAGUCCCACAGGCGAGCCAACCCGGUCACAAAUGCCCUGAGACUUGCACCUUUCUCCUGAAACGGAGUGCUCUGGCCGGCUUUCGUAUCCCCCUUAGCCCUGCUCCUCAUCUCUGGGGCUGCUUUACCUGCAAAGUCUAAUCAAGAAAGGGAUGGGGACGCUGAGAAGGAGGAGUCUUUACCCGAAUCCUGUUCCCAUUUCUACCACCAGCAGCACCCCUUAGGCGAGUUAAGCUUUGGGACCAAAGGGGUCCACUCGGUUUCUCUGAGAAACUGGCAGAUCCUAUUUUUCAGAGUCAUCUGCAACAAUGUCUCCUUGCAAGGUGGCUUUGACUCCCCCACGGGGAGGUGGGGCCUAGGUUCCCUCCCUCUGAACCUGGCAGUCACAGAAAGAACACUCUCGUGACCGCCAAGGCCAGGUCAUAAAAGGUGCUACCACUUCUGCCUGGAUGCCUUCUAUAAUUGUCAUCCUCACUGACCUGACACAGAGAAGUUCAACGUCCAAAGGUCCAAGAAAGGUGGAGGCGAGACAGGGACUAGGACUUGGCCGCACUGUGCCCUGAGUCGGGAUGCAGGGCUGGUUGUGGCUGAUUCCCAUGCCCCACAGCUGAGCCCUUUUCCCCACUGGCACUUUGAUCCACCUCCAGGCACGUGACCUAAGUCCCUAUGGGGCACAAUGCUAAACAGGUGACAUGCACCCAGAGGCAAAAGGGGAAAUGGACCAUCUCCCUGGGACAAGGCAGCUGGUAUAGCUACUGUUGGGUGACAGUCGCCCUGCAGGAAGGAGGGCUUGGUCCUGGGGCUAGGUCCUCCCACCUCCACUUUCACUUCCAUGACUCCUACUGGCUUCAGAGCAUGAAGGAUCCUCUGACCCUGGAAUCUUACCUCGAGCACCUCUGCCAAGGAAAGGGGAGAGAAGUUGCCUUUCCACUGUAGGCCACCUUUUAUGUCUUAGUAGAGUGCUGGGGCAUUUUGAUCCAGGGAGGCAGAAGGAGGCACAAGAGGAGACAGACACAGACAAAGGGAGGCAGAGACUGCUGAGAGCUCAGGAGAUGAGUCUGGCUCAGCAGGGCCUGUGGUUUGCCCACUCUGUGCUCUGCACCAAGGGUUAAAAGGUGCCCUGUCCUCAGGAUACUUGAAAUCUAGUGGGGAUUUGGACACCGACAUAAACAAAGUCAUGUACUAAGGAAGCUGAGCUUGGUAAAGAAAGCAGAAGUAAAGAGCUGGGCCCCACAAACUCUGAGCUCCAGAGAAGGCUGCAAAGAGAAGGCUGAGUUCUGAAGGCUCUGUCCAGUGCCUUUCACCCCAAGGCCUUCGUAGUGUUAACACAGCAUUUACGUGUUUAAGUCCUCCCUACGUGUCAGGCAUGAUUUUACGCCCUUGACUUGUUUGACUUCAUUUAAUCAUCGACAAGUCUAGGUGGCUGAUACUCUUACCUGUUUGUUUGUUUAUUUAUUUAUUUUUGAGACAGUGUCGCUUGCCCCAGGCUAGAGUGCAGCAGUGUGAUCAUAGCUCACUGCCAUCUUGAAUUCCUCUGCUCAAGUCAUCCUCCCACAUCAGCCUCCCAAGCAGCUGGGACUACAGGUGUGCACCAUCAUGGCCAGCUAACUUUGUACUGUCUGUAGAGACGGAAUUUUGCUAUGUUACCCAGGCUGGUCUCAAACCCGAGGGCUCAAGCAAUCCUCCUGCCUCAGCCUCCCAAAGUCCUGGGAUUAAAGGCAUGAGUCACCAUGCCCAGCCAGUGGUUGAAACUCUUAUUAUGGCCAUUCUGCGGAUGAGAAGACUGAGUCAUCAGGAGGCAGGGCUUGCCAAGGUCACUGUGUUGGGGAAACACAGUCAGGAUAUGAACUCAGGCUCUUGGGGUCCCUGCUGGUCACUGUCACCCCGUGGCCCUUCUGAAGAAUGUCACAGGAAAGCAAAGCUGAGAGGGCCUCGUGAACUCAUCCAUGCCUGUCUCCCACACUGACCUGCACCUUUGGUCCCAGAGGUGCUUAUGAAAGACAGAUGCUCAGAUCCCUCCUUAGAGAGUCAGAUUCAGGAGGUCUGAUGUGAAUCCCAGAGACCUGGAAUUUUACUGAUGGCCCAGAUAAUUUUUAUGGUCAGAUACUGACCUAAUUCCACCCAGUUUCCCACUAAAUUUUGUAAGUGAGGAAAGCAAUGCAGAAGAGUUACAGGAAGGCCCAGUGUUACAUGCCCAGGUCAUGGCCCAGGGCCAAGCCAGCCCCAAAGGUGGGACCCUGGUUCUCUUAGCCUUCCCUGACACCUGUCACCCUGGCUGCUGCUCCAGGGAACCCUCUCUCGGGAGAAGCUUGAGCAAAUGUUGAUCUUCCCAGAACAGGGGUCUACAGAAUCCAGAGGUGUGGAAACAGUGGGAUGCUAAUAGCUGUUAGAAUUUUGGUUCAUCCAUAGAUCCAAACUUUGAAGCAUUGAGACAAAAGAUAGCUGUGCUUUGAUAGAGAAAAUAGAUAAGAAAAGGGUGUGAAAUCUGAGUGUCACAACAGAGGCAGAAGCAGAUGGAAACUAGGUUUCUGGAGUAGGGGAGGUGGGGACCAACUUUGUUUCUCCUGCUUUUACCUUGUCCUAGUUGGAAUCAUCUCUCCUCAUCCCAGUUACAAAGCCAGAGAGGAUUUACAGUCAAAGCAUCUACACCAGCAGUCCCUCUUACUGACACUGAUCAGACAGGGAGGUAGAACUGAUGGAAAACACAGCACAGCAUCAGAAGCAUAGCUUGGGAGCUUAUUAGCAGCAAAGUGCUGUUCUCUGCGGCAUUUUCUGGUGCUCCAGAAAUACAUCCCCUUGGAUGGAGAUACUACCGGGCCAUCUAAUGUGAAAUUUUCUGCUGGAGUGGUUAACGCUGGAGAUUUCCUUGAAAAACAUCGCCACUGAGAGAGGCUGGCUUCAAGUUUCAUAUAUAUGUAUAUGUAUCUGUGUGUGUGUGUGUGUAUGUGUGUGUCCAUGUGUGUGUAU
rnacentral:lncRNA from 1 species